AUGGCUAGUCCAUCCAAAGUAGAGGCUUGGGAAUUGAAAGGAGGGGAACCCCAAUAUCUACUAAUGCGUUCAUCUUUGCUUCCUUCAGUGGACAGUUCUGGAAAAAUCACACUUUCUCCUAUGGACUGGAGGAAAGCAGCAUUAUAUCCUGAUUGGAGGAAAGAAGAGUUCCAGGCUGCAUGGCGGCAGACACCUUCAGUUGAAUAUUCAGGUGAAAUAGGAGGCUUAAUGUACUGACCUGCAAACAGAGCUCUUUCUACUCAUCCAGUCUUCAGUUUCAUCAGACUCAUUUUUCCUGGUCUGUCAGUCUCUCCUGACUUCAAUUACCACCCUUUCCUACUUAAAAUAUGAAUGCAUAAUAACUUCAAGUAUUCCCCUACUAGUAAAUGAAAGCCCUGCCCUUCUUAUCCUUCUGUGACAUCAUCUUAGCAAGACCCUAAAUAUGGGGUUGCUCAUACUAGCAGCUUAACAUGUUAUAAAAAUUCAAACAAGUGAACACACUGGUACCUUAUAUACUUUUUGUACCUUUCACAACCUGGAUGCCAACACUAUUUUCCAUGCUUUUUCCAGCCAUCUACAUUUCCUUGGAUUUAUCCAUCAGCCUUUAAAAUAAUCCACUUAUUUAAACUUUCAAUUCUUUCAGUUCUAUUCUCAAUAAAGUACUGUGUUACCACUUAGAAAAUCA
rnacentral:lncRNA from 1 species